UACGAAGGGGGCGAGCGUUGUUCGGAAUUACUGGGCGUAAAGGGCGCGCAGGCGGCUCAGACAGUCAGAUGUGAAAGCCCCGGGCUUAACCUGGGAACUGCAUUUGAUACUACUGAGCUUGAGUACGGGAGAGGAUAGUGGAAUUCCCAGUGUAGGAGGUGAAAUUCGUAGAUAUUGGGAAGAACACCGGUGGCGAAGGCGGCUAUCUGGACCGGUAAACUGGACGCUGAGGCGCGAAAAGCGUGGGGAGGCAAACAGG
rnacentral:rRNA from 1 species